rnacentral:rRNA from 1 species
GUAGGAUAGAGGCCUACCAUGGUUAUGACGGGUAACGGGGGAUUAGGGUUCGAUUCCGGAGAGAGAGCCUGAGAAACGGCUCUCAUAACUAAGGUUAGCAGCAGGCGCGCAAAUUAUCCACUCUCAAUACGAGGAGAUAGUGACAAUAAAUAACAAUAGAGGGCUCUUUUGGGUCUUCUAAUUGGAAUGAGUACAAUUUAAACCCCUUAACGAGGAUCAAUUGGAGGGCAAGUCUGGUGCCAGGAGCCGCGGUAAUUCCAG